GGCGAUUCCUCUCCGCUCUCCAAGCCGUUACUCAGCACCCAAAUCUUAAAACUUCCAAAUUUUCAAUCCCUCCAUAAAAUUUCUACAAAAUUAAGAAACCCAUUACCCAAAUCAAAUAUUUCAUCUCAUAAAAAUUGUUUUACUUCACAAUGGCUUUUGAACUGGACAACUGGUAAGUAUUUUCGGUUUCAAAAUUCAAAGUUUAGUAACUUUAGUUUCUUAGAUUUUAUUACUUGGACCAUCUUUUAUAUAUAUUUUUCAUUAAUAAUUUAAUAUUGAUUAUUGAGUAUGAGUUUUUGAAAAAUUCAAGUUUUUUUUGUUUGCAGUUUGCAGUUUGUUGAAAUGGCCUGAUGAUUUUUAUUUUAUUUUUUUAGUACUUGAGCAUUUUUAAAAUUUUCUGAUUUGAGAAUUCAAUUGAUAUUAAUUUUGACAACAGCUUUUCGCCUUAAUUAGAUUGUGGAGUAAAAGUUUAUUCUAAAUUGUAAUGCAGAAUUCUUCUACAUCAUCAGGCUUAAUUGAAUUAUUUUUAAAUUUCAAAAUGCGGUAAAUAUUUCACGGCACAAAUAUAGACCCCCCAGACAUGUAGGAAAGGGAAACUACAAAAGUUUAAAUAUACUCCCUAGUAAGUAAAUGUCGUCGUCUCCCUACUUGUGUCCUUGUCGGCAAAAUAUUGAAAUUG
rnacentral:lncRNA from 1 species